rnacentral:lncRNA from 1 species
GUCUGCGCACCUAAAAUUUGAUCUCGAUUUUAUUACAAAGUAAAAUAUUAUUUUGAGAGUCAUCAAUGUCAUUCCAUUCUCUAUAUUCUAAUGAUCAAGGAAACAAAAAAAAAUCAAGAAAUUAUUUACAAGAACAAUGUUUUUCUACGAUUUUCAGACGGGCUUGUCACUUUGUGUAGCAAAAAUGAUUGGUGCCCAUGUCUGCGCACUAGCUCAUUUUGCACGCAAAUCAAAUGCAGUGAAGUUUCGGACAUUUCUUUUUUGACAAUUAUUGAAAUUUUCAGGGUAGCAAAUUGAAACUUGCUGAUACUCAUUUUUAAUCAAAUAUUUUUGUAGUUUUUGGUAUCAAAAUGGAUUGCUGCGGUCAAGAUUGAAAAUUGGUACUAUCAGUUUGAUGUUUUGUUCUAUGAAAAUUGCGCAUUUACGUGAGUGCGCAGACAUGGGCACUGCACAGACUUGGGCACUCUUACCAUACGAUUUGUAUUUCUGAUUUUGUCUGCCUUAUUUUUCCUCUUUUCUUUUAAACGUUGAGCACACAUUGAAAUUUUCUUUGGCUAGCCUAAGCCUUCAUUGCCGUGUUGAGUGCAUGCUUUUCACAACUCCUCAGUCCUCUUUUCACAACUCCUCUCUCAGUUUUGUAUUUGACUUAGAUCUAGAUCUACAUGUUAAACGUACGAAUGUCACUGUCUAAACGUAAACCCUGUUCUGUGUACUAGGCCUACCCCCAUCUGAUCCUGUCAUCAUGUAGAACAACUCCUCUGCACCAUUUGCAGUUCUCCAGACUGGAGGAAACUAACCGAAGAAGAAGAAGAAGCUGCCGAGACUUCUCUUCAUUAGAUCUAGUCCUAACAGUUAGGACUAACUGUUAGAUCUGAAAAUGAAAUGUAGCUCCGCGGCCGUUAUUGGUGCAAAAAAUUCCUCCAAGCGGCAGGCCCUCCAAGCUAUAAACUAGUUAGUUUUAUAAUAUAGAUUCUAAGUCUAAGUUAGAUAGGCUAACUAUAGGCCUAGGUCUAGACUUUGUCUAGGGGCCUAGACUAGUCCUAGGAUGGGGGGUUGGGUGUCCGGACACUUGUCUUAACAAAAUUGAAGCCCUGUUUUUUGUCUUUGGAUUAAGCCAAAAUAUAUAGAUCUAGGCCUACGUUGAAUUGUGCUUUUCAUCAUCAAUAUUUGAUCUCCACAAUAUUGUUUCCCAUUUUGUGCUAAAAAACAACGAAGAAUUUGAUUGUAAACCUUUUCAAAUGGCUGUUAAAAUGGAGUGUCCGGACACCCAACCCGUCCGGACACCCAAUAACUGGACAAAAAGUUACUAGAGUCUAGAUUUACUAGUAUUAAUCCGAGUGAAUUACAAUAGACCACACUGAUAAACCUAAACUAAAUAGUAAAUUUUCUAAACAACAAUUUUUAGAAUAAUAGAAGUCUAACGUAAUAGGACAAAGAGGAAUAAAAGAUCUAACCAGUUGUUUAUCAGUGUGAUCUACUUUUAAACUGUUAGGCCCCUAGAUCUAGUCUAGAUGUUAGAUCUAUACCGGUAGUCAAAUAACUUAAUGUAGAUCAAUAAUCUUAAUGCUAUUAAGUAAUAUCAAUAGAUUUACUUCUCAUUUUUGCAGAUGAAAAGAAGAAAGCCAGAGGAGGUAGCGAAGCACUACAUUAGUUGUGGCCAGGACCCAGACUGGAUCCAACAAAAAUGGGUGAACAAGGAAAAAGGUCGUGGUGUAGUUGCUACAAGGGAUAUUACAAGAAGUGAAUUUAUAGCUGAAUAUGAAGGGCAUCUGGUUACAGAAGAACUUGAAAGAAGGGAAGAACAAAUGUCUUCAGAUGUGAAUUCACCUGGAAAUUCACCUGUGAACAAGUGUCUUCAGAUAUGAAUUCACCUGGAAAGGAAAGAAACUAUGCCGGAUCAUCUGUUGGUGUACCAACCCUUGGACCUCUUUCUCCUCCUAGAGUCCCGCAGAGUCCCACUAAGGAACGCCUUGAUCCUCAAAAUUCAUCAUGAUGUAAUGAUGGAGCUGGAUCAUCUGGUGGUGUAUCAGCCCCUGGACCUCUUUGUCCUCCUAGGAAAAAUCCUACCCUGGUACCCCUCAAUCGUCAGGAAGAUUCAUCAAGAGAACGGAGGUACACGAGAUGGGAGUCUGGGGAAACGGCUCAACUAAAAGAGUUCUUCAAAGAAUACUUCACAUCAACUCAAACAAAACUUCCAUCAAGAGCAGAAAUUAGAAAAUUCAAAAUGAGAUUUCCAGCCUUCAGACAUGAUGUAAGGACCAUAGCAACCAAGGUCAUGAACGAGGUGCGGAAGACCGAACGACUGACAGAGGAAAGAGUCAAACGAAUUGGGAUAAGAUAAUGAGGUGAUGGGCUAACAGGUUAAUCGGGACAUUUAUGGUAACAGUAACACGCAUCUUUUAGGAUAGAUUCCGGAUUGUGCUUAGAAUAAAAUAAACUUACAGUCUUCAUAAAUCCCUUUUGAGUGUUUUCAACAAUCCAAUUAGUGAAGUCUUUCUAUAUGAGCUCACCUGAGCCGAAGGCUUAUAACUGCACAGAUGCUCGUCCCUGCAAAAACUGUCGCCUCAUGGGCAACAGAGCAUGCGGAUAGUGAUUAAUCACCUAAAUAUUAGCUGUGGGGUCAUGCUUGUUAUCAAUUAUUUUAUGGUACUUUGAUGAAUUGUGUUAGGGUCCCUUACAAUCAAGUGGGUGGAGCAUUGGAGGAGUACCCUCUCAUGAUCGAGGAUUUUAAAUAAAAUAAUGCAUGCAAACAUAUUUUUAAAAUGUGAUUCAGGCAAUUGCAGGGGCAGAGGUAGUUGAUGUCAGAUUUGCUGGCAGGAUUAAGAGUACAUAGGGCCCACAGGGCAACAGUUUGUUCAGGGGUGACCAUUUGGUAGGCAAGUCAGAGGAUCUCUCAAUCAAAUUUAUUGAUAAAAUACUACUAGAGGCAUAGGAUUGAAAGUUGCUCAAUUGAAGCAUGUGGUAAUUACUAAUUUGCAAUUACAUAUGACAAUUGCAUGACAUCAGGUGAGCACCAGGCCCCCUGGGGCUUUUAUCAUUUAUCCCUAACUGCCCUCCUCCAUAGUUUUGGCGAUUGCAUCGCGACCGCUACCAAUUUCAGAUUCUCGCUUUAUGACUUUUUCCCUUGCAGUCUUGUCUUGCACACAUUUUGCAGGGACUGAUUUUUAAAAUUUACAGGGGAGCUAUAAAUAGCUCUCCUAGAGGCUCUCAAGGAGAAUUUUUAGGGGAGCUAAAUUUGUUCUUCACGUAGAAAGAUUGGGGUUAAAAGGGGCUCUGUAAAUCACUCCCCAAAAAGCAUUUAAGGGGAGCUUGGGAGAGCAAUCGCUCUCACUCCCCUUAAAUCUUACUCCCUGAUUUUGAUACCACAUUUGUCCUUAUCAGACCUACCUAAGGGGUAUUAUGGGCCAAUUAGCAGACAUGCCAACAAAAAAACGUAUUCCGUACUUUUCUAUCCUCUUUCGCUUCUUUAGGGGGUACUAAGAUCUAUAGAUGUCUAUGAAUGCAUAGCACCAUCAUGCCAUACUGCAUUGCACCUGUCUUCAUAGAAAACAUUUAAUUGUCCAAUGAAUUGUCUAUGUCCCUCAUUUACCAGAACGAAUGCUUUUGGUGCAGGAAUGAAACACUUGUGAAAAUGUAUGUAUGUUUUCUAUUGAAAAUAAUUGAAUAAUAAAAGGUUUCAGGUCGACAG